ACAAACGGAUUGGGCCCAGGCUUUCCCAAAUGGAUCCGUGGAUUUAAGCCAGACUUUUGCCUCUACCUGGUGAGUAAAACGCUGCGUUUUCAUUCUCGGAGUAGUCCACCCCGGUUUCCCUCAGAAAUUGGCUGCAUUGCACGCAAAGCGUUUGAUUCAAUCACCCAGCGGAUCGAGUUUGAGCUGAGUUGACGCGGCCUCUGAAAACUCGACAAAAAUGCAACGGUUAACAUCAAGGAUAACUCGAACUGUGAAAGCUUCUUCCUCACUGAGAGCUUUCCUCCUCAAAGAAGCACCAUUAUCAUCUUCUUGUUGGCUUCCAGAGCGCAGCUUCUCUGCUUUCUCCUUGCAACAACAUGUCCAAAACCCGCAAAAAGAAGCGAUCCCAGGCGAUUUCUUGAAAUGGGGUUCGCUUGGUUUUUGCAGGACUUCGAGGUUUGCUACUGGGUUCACGCCUUUACAACCCAAGCCUUUGAAUUCCAUCAUGGACUUGGACAGAGCAAAGAACCGUUCAGCAGAGGACCUUGCUUCUGUUUGGGAUGAUUAUCACUUGGGAAGAGGUCACAUUGGGUUGACCAUGAAAGCAAAACUUUACCGUUUGUUGGAACACAGAGGCUCAGAUUGCCGGUAUUUUGUCAUUCCUUUGUGGAGAGGAAGUGGUUACACAACAAUGUUUGCUCAAGUGCAGUUGCCGCACAUGCUUUUCACUGGUCUUGAAGAUUACAAAGCGAAGGGAACUCAAGCAGCUCCUUACUUCACUGCAACCUUUUACACAGAAUUUGCAGAAAGCAAGGACUUGGUACUCAUUCGUGGAGAUAUUGUUUUCACCAGUAAACUUACUGAUGAGGAAGCAAAAUGGCUCUUGGAGACCACUCAAUCUUUCUAUCUGAAUGAUGUGAGGUACAAGCAGGUUGAACGAUUCAAUAAAGAACCACGUGAGUUUGAGUUCAAGGAUGUGUUGCGAGCCUUAGACAUGCCCAUCAUGUAACUUCUUUGAAUGAUAUAUGGUGAACUACAAUGCUGCUUAGUCAGGAAGUCUGAAGCAAUAAUGUUUCCACUUAGGCAUUGGCCCAAUGGGAGGAUUAUCUCAAGACAACCGGUUAUGUUUUUAACAGAGUUAGGUAUGGCAUAACUCAACACUGGUCACGUCAGAAAAUAGGUCAAUUAAAGCGGACAACCUAAGUCUCUCAGUUAUCUCCGUCCUUAAAUCCACCAAAUGACUGACGCUUCCGAGGAAGCCAAGCAAAUCGAGAAGCUCUACGAGUUCGGCGAACGCCUUAACGAGGCCAAGGAUAAGUCUCAGAAUGUGAAAGACUACGAAGGAAUCAUCGAUGCCACGAAAACAAGUUUAAAGGCGAAGCAGUUGGCUGCGCAGCUAAUUCCUCGCUUCUUCAAGUUCUUCCCCAAUCUCUCCAGCCGUGCUCUCAAUGCGCAUUUCGAUUUGAUUGAAGAAGAAGAUUU